rnacentral:tRNA from 1 species
GGGAGAGUGUUGGAACUGGUAUUCAUCAACGGCUCAAACCCGUUGGCCUUCGGGAUUGAGGGUUCGACUCCCUCCUCUCCUACCA